AUUCAUGGUCUCGUUUUCUUCCAUAAUUGUUGUGCAUGUACAUUCUAAACACUUAGACACAUCCUACUUACUCUAUAAUGUUAUUUGUAUGUAUAUGUUUUUACACAUUCUUUUUUCUUCCAAAAACUGGUCAUUCUGUACCAGGGUCUGUGUAUUCUGGCAUAAUUUUCCUGUAUUUUUUGCUCCCCUGGAAUGUGUGAAGCCUUUUCCGGGUACUUGGGUUUUGUAAUUGAGUGGCUUAGUACCUUUCUACAAAAUAAGUAUUUUUCUAGCCAUAGUACUUAUUCUGUCUGAAUAUGGAGUAUGCUUGGGUUAGAAUAGUUACUCAGUAACUCACACAGUAUGCUCUGGGCUCUAACUGAAGAUUUGACUUUCAAGUUACUCAAGUAACAGAACUAGGGAGGGAUUUGAUCAAAAUGUGUAGGAUUCUCUCAGCACUUACAGUAGCACCGUGAAUCAUGUAACACCAGGUCUCUUGAAGAUCAACAACACAGUUGAAUGAUUCAGUAAUGGGAAAUACUGUUACUUAGGGGAACACGUAAUGAUGCUUCUUACAUGGAUGUGAUUUUCCCAGUUUUGAAAUUAGCAUGCUUUGUGAAUGCUUAUACUAGAGAAUUUCAGAAAUUGUCUGAGCCACAACUGAGAAUAUACUAAUAAGAUUUUAUGUUUUUCCUAGCAUGUUCCACCUUCCCUCUUCACGGAACCUAAUGAAAUAUCACAAUAUUUACCAAUUAAG
rnacentral:lncRNA from 1 species